GGGGCCUUAGGCGAUUGUCUACUUUGCCUAUACUCAGGGCUACCACUACAACACAUAUUGUAUAUAUCACAAUCGAUGAUUAGAGCUAUAUAGAAUUAAGUAGUCUUGAAGAAACCUGUUCUCGGUCCCCUUAGAUUCUAGGGUUCUUGUAUGAAAUCCUAGAUAAAGGAAAAUCCAAGAUGGUUUUUUCAAGAGAUCCUAGAAUACUUACCAAAUCGAAGGAUUAUAUAUAGUUUAGGGUAAGCAUCAUUACCAGAAGAUCAAAGACCAUAUAGUGUAAAAUAGUAUGUACCAGGGAAUCAUUUUAUUUCUACAACGAACCAAAAUCAAACCUUUAGGAGUGCAGAAUUAUGAAGAACUAGGAUUUUCAUCUCCAAGAACAAGAAGAAAAACAAAUCGAAAUGCUCUGUUGAUAAAUUUGUCUCAAGAAGGCAAAGUAAAUCGACAAAAAUUUAAAAGAACACAGAUUUUUCGCUCUAAGUCUCGAAUGUUCAGCCAAAUGAUCUACUUACCACGUUGAAAAUCCACAAAAGUGGCUAUCCCUCUAAAUCAACUAGAAAUCACAUAGAAUAUCAGUACACGAAUCCACACCAAGAGAUCCAACAGAUUGUCCUCAGACAACUUAUUUUUCUCUCAAAUCGAUUUUAUACCAAGUAACCAGUGGUUAUCGUUCAACCAAGUACGGACAAGUAGCCAUUACCAACAUUCCACAAAAUAUCUCACCAAAUAAAUCUUAGAGAAUGACCAUUACAGACGAAAACCCAAAGGUAUUCAGAGAGAAGAAGACAGAGAG
rnacentral:lncRNA from 1 species